rnacentral:rRNA from 1 species
CCUAUGGGUGGCUGCAGUGAGGAAUAUUGGUCAAUGGGCGGAAGCCUGAACCAGCCAAGUAGCGUGCAGGAUGACGGCCCUACGGGUUGUAAACUGCUUUUAUACGGGAAUAACGCGCCUUACGUGUAGGGCUUUGCAUGUACCGUAUGAAUAAGGACCGGCUAAUUCCGUGCCAGCAGCCGCGGUAAUACGGAAGGUCCGGGCGUUAUCCGGAUUUAUUGGGUUUAAAGGGAGCGUAGGCCGCAUGUCAAGCGUGCUGUGAAAUGUCCGGGCUCAACCCGGGCCUUGCAGCGCGAACUGGCGUGCUUGAGUCCGCGGAAAGCAGGCGGAAUUCGUCGUGUAGCGGUGAAAUGCAUAGAUAUCACGCAGAACGCCGAUUGCGAAGGCAGCAUACCGGCGCCCAACUGACGCUGAGGCACGAAAGCGUGGGGAUCGAACAGGAUUAGAUACCCGUGUAGUC